AGCACGGAGCUUGCUCUGGUGGCGAGUGGCGAACGGGUGAGUAAUAUAUCGGAACGUACCCUGGAGUGGGGGAUAACGUAGCGAAAGUUACGCUAAUACCGCAUACGAUCUAAGGAUGAAAGUGGGGGAUCGCAAGACCUCAUGCUCGUGGAGCGGCCGAUAUCUGAUUAGCUAGUUGGUAGGGUAAAAGCCUACCAAGGCAUCGAUCAGUAGCUGGUCUGAGAGGACGACCAGCCACACUGGAACUGAGACACGGUCCAGACUCCUACGGGAGGCAGCAGUGGGGAAUUUUGGACAAUGGGCGAAAGCCUGAUCCAGCAAUGCCGCGUGAGUGAAGAAGGCCUUCGGGUUGUAAAGCUCUUUUGUCAGGGAAGAAACGGUGAGAGCUAAUAUCUUUUGCUAAUGACGGUACCUGAAGAAUAAGCACCGGCUAACUACGUGCCACCCC
rnacentral:rRNA from 1 species